rnacentral:rRNA from 1 species
UAGGGAAUCUUCGGCAAUGGGGGCAACCCUGACCGAGCAACGCCGCGUGAGUGAAGAAGGUUUUCGGAUCGUAAUGCUCUGUUGUAAGAGAAGAACGUGUGUGAGAGUGGAAAGUUCACACAGUGACGGUAACUUACCAGAAAGGGACGGCUAACUACGUGCCAGCAGCCGCGGUAAUACGUAGGUCCCGAGCGUUGUCCGGAUUUAUUGGGCGUAAAGCGAGCGCAGGCGGUUUAAUAAGUCUGAAGUUAAAGGCAGUGGCUUAACCAUUGUUCGCUUUGGAAACUGUUAAACUUGAGUGCAGAAGGGGAGAGUGGAAUUCCAUGUGUAGCGGUGAAAUGCGUAGAUAUAUGGAGGAACACCGGUGGCGAAAGCGGCUCUCUGGUCUGUAACUGACGCUGAGGCUCGAAAGCGUGGGGAGCAAACAGG